rnacentral:rRNA from 1 species
UCAGGCCUAACACAUGCAAGUCGUACGGGAAUUUUUAAUUCAAGUGGCGGACGGGUGAGUAACACGUAAGAAUUUGCCUUUAGGAGGGGGACAACAACUGGAAACGGUUGCUAAUACCCCAUAUGCUUUCGAGUGAAAUGGAUUUUUCCGCCUAAAGAGAAGCUUGCGGCUGAUUAGCUUGUUGUUGAGGUAAUGGCUCACCAAGGCGACGAUCAGUAUCUGGUUUGAGAGGAUGAUCAGACACACUGGAACUGAGACACGGUCCAGACUCCUACGGGAGGCAGCAGUGG